AAAAAAAAAAAAAAAAAAGAAUCAAAGCUUUAAAAUCCAGCAGAAGUAAAAUUUCCAAGUGGGAGGGAAGAGGAUCAACAGGAGAAUCUGCAAGAGUAAAAGAGGAAGAAGAUGUGUGCUGCAUGGCACAAAAUGAAUCUGCAAAGCAUCUGGGAACUGCAGACCCUACUGAUGCCUGGAACUCACUGGAGUCAGCAUGUCCAGGCAGUCAUUGUAGCAAGUCAGAGUGGUGUGAUGAAAUGCUUCAGGAGAAAAACAUUUCACCACAGCCUGGUUCACUCAGAUACCUUGCCAGGGAACCAACAUCUCACUCGGGCCUCUGAUAUUGUAACUGUGGGCCUUUAAGAAACAACGGAAAACCCAACUGAAUAAAAACUGACCUCCUUUGUGGCUGCCCUGAUGGAAGGGGCUCAGGAGCAACAGCCUUCAUGGUGCCCACCCUCUGGGCCAGAACAACGGAUGCCCCACAACUGAGUUUAGUGCCUCCAAGAACCACAGCUUUUUUUUGCAGCAGUAAGAGCAUACCUCUGAGGCACUGUGAAGAAUCUGAUAGUCGAACUGAAUGAAGCCAAGUCCAGUCUUUACGGAAAAAUUUACACAACACUUCCAGAUUGUGUCUGCGACACCGCAACGCCUUCCUGUUAAGAGAGCCGAGAGCUGGAAACUAUGCUGAGGCCAUCCCCUUUGGGAGCUGGCUGCCGCACUCACUGCACUCAUGCUGAGUUCUGAAAGCCCUCUGGCAGCUCCCCAGCAAUUCCAGCAAUCUGCAAAGUUCUGAACUGGGUGCUGCCCAGGUGGCAGAAGUCAGUGAGCAUAUCCAGGUGACAGUGCAAAUAUGAUUGUAGGUAGGAGUCCGGAAUGUGACCUUGACUUCUUUUAGCCAUUUCCCAGUCCGUUCUCAAGGGCAGAUGCUGCGUCCUCUCUCAAUGCAGGGCUGACUCACUCCAUGCCCAACACUGUAAGAGCUUGCUCUCUGUCUCAGCUCUGCCAAUAACGUGACCUUAGGCAGCUCACUUUACUUCUUCAAGGCAGGCUUAGGAUAGAUCCUCAAGCCACACCCCUGGCCAACAACUCGGAUUCUACAGAGUGAGACACUGAAAUAUUUAUAUUUCUUUAUGGUAACCUUUUCAUUGAAGUAAACCUUACAUCAGGAAAAAAUGUGCAAGCCCUGUAAAUAUACAGAUUAAUUUUCACAAAGUGAACACAGUCUCACAUUAAAUAAUAAAGCAAUCCAGCCCAGAAGACACCCUCUGGGCCCCCUACUAGGCACCACUCUACCAAGAUAACCACUCUAUUUUGACUUUUAACAUCAUAGCUUACGUUUGCCAAUUCUGAAAUUUUAGAUAAAUGGAAUCACACAGCAUGUAUUCUUUUGUACGUGGCUUCUCUCACUCAGUAGUGUGCUUGUGAAAUUCAUCCAUGUUAUUGCAGGUAGUUCUAGUUUGUUUUCAUUGCUAUAUAGUAAGGGAUCAAUCUCCGGUUUUAUAAAUAAAGUUUUAUUGAAACACUGCCAGGCUAAUUUGUCUCAGUAUUAUCUACAGCUGCUUUCACACUACAGUGGUAGAGUUUAGCUGCCACAGAGAUUACAUGGCUGGCAAAGUUAGAAAUAUUUACUAUCUGGCCCUUUACAGAACAAAGUUUGCUGAACCCCACUGUAUGGUAUCCAAUCAUAUGAGCCCACUCUUUCUUUCUUUUUUCUAUUCUUUAUUCAUUGAUGGACAUUCGGGUUUUUUACA
rnacentral:lncRNA from 1 species